UUCUAUAGCCAUGUUCACCCUGAAGGUGCCCCCAUCUCAGCUGAUCUAGGAAGCUAAGCAUGGUAUGGGCAGGUUGGUACUUGAAUGGGAGAUUGCCUGGGAACACAUAAGUGGUGCCAUAGAGC
rnacentral:rRNA from 1 species